rnacentral:rRNA from 1 species
UACGUAGGGUGCGAGCGUUGUCCGGAAUUACUGGGCGUAAAGAGCUCGUAGGUGGUUUUGUCGCGUCUGCCGUGAAAGUCCGGGGCUCAACUCCGGAUCUGCGGUGGGUACGGGCAGACUAGAGUGCAGUAGGGGGAGACUGGAAUUCCUGGUGUAGCGGUGAAAUGCGCAGAUAAUCAGGAGGAACACCGAUGGCGAAGGCAGGUCUCUGGGGCUGUAACUGACGCUGAGGAGCGAAAGCAUGGGGAGCGAACAG